CCCUUAGAUGUUCUGGGCAGCACGCGCGCUUCAAUGGUCUUCGCAAACGGAUGCAUUCUCGAAUGAGAAUGCCAAUCUUGGAAUCUAUGCCUUGGUCGGGACAGUUGCUUGCAAUUUUUCGACUCGAACCAGGAAUUCCUUGUAAUCGUGAUUCAUCACAUCACGAUGAAUACGUCCCUGCCCUUUGUACACACCGCCCGUCGCUCCUACCGAUCGAAGAGUUAGGUGAAUUGUUUUGAUCGAUAAGAUUUGACUAUGGUCAACUCUCGUUGUGAAAUUCUGUGAAUCUGACUGUUUAGAGGAAGGAAAAGUCGUAACA
rnacentral:rRNA from 1 species